rnacentral:rRNA from 1 species
GAUGAACGCUGACAGAAUGCUUAACACAUGCAAGUCUUUGGCGAAGCUGUGCUUGCACAGCCUAGCCAAGGCGGACGGGUGAGUAACGCGUAAGGAACUUGCCCUUCAGUCAGGGAUAACAGACGGAAACGACUGAUAAGACCUGGUAAAGUCAGGCGGACUCAUGUCCAGCCUGAUGAAAAGAGAUGCUGCAGGAGAGCCUUGCGUCCUAUUAGCUUGUUGGUGGGGUAACGGCCCACCAAGGCGAUGAUAGGUAGCCGGCCUGAGAGGGUGGACGGCCAAAAGGGGACGGGGAUACGGCCCUUACUACAACGGGAGGCAGCAGUGGGGAAUAUUGGACAAUGGGGGCAACCCUGAUCAAGCAAUUCUGUGUGAACGAUGAAGGUUUUCGAAUUGAAAGGUGCUUUCAGAAGGGAAGAAAAAAUGACGGUACCUGCAGAAGAAGCGACGGCUAAAUACGUG